rnacentral:rRNA from 1 species
UUUAUGGAGAGUUUGAUCCUGGCUCAGGAUGAACGCUGGCGGCGUGCCUAAUACAUGCAAGUCGAGCGAACGGACGAGAAGCUUGCUUCUCUGAUGUUAGCGGCGGACGGGUGAGUAACACGUGGAUAACCUACCUAUAAGACUGGGAUAACUUCGGGAAACCGGAGCUAAUACCGGAUAAUAUUUUGAACCGCAUGG